GAUGAACGCUGGCGGCGUGCCUAAUACAUGCAAGUCGAGCGAACAGAUGAGGAGCUUGCUCCUCUGACGUUAGCGGCGGACGGGUGAGUAACACGUGGAUAACCUACCUAUAAGACUGGGAUAACUUCGGGAAACCGGAGCUAAUACCGGAUAAUAUAUUGAACCGCAUGGUUCAAUAGUGAAAGACGGUUUUGCUGUCACUUAUAGAUGGAUCCGCGCCGCAUUAGCUAGUUGGUAAGGUAACGGCUUACCAAGGCAACGAUGCGUAGCCGACCUGAGAGGGUGAUCGGCCACACUAGAACGUAGACACGGUCCAGACUCCUACGGGAGGCAGCAGUAGGGAAUCUUCCGCAAUGGGCGAAAGCCUGACGGAGCAACGCCGCGUGAGUGAUGAAGGUCUUCGGAUCGUAAAACUCUGUUAUUAGGGAAGAACAAAUGUGUAAGUAACUAUGCACGUCUUGACGGUACCUAAUCAGAAAGCCACGGCUAACUACGUG
rnacentral:rRNA from 1 species